AAAAAAAUGUCACACGUUAACAAAAAUUUGUUGUGUCUAAAUUGGUAUUGUAAGAAUCAGGUCCCAGAAUACCAGAUAAUAAAUAUUCUACAAAACAACUUCAUCAAUAAAGAAAACUAAACUUCUUGAUUUAUUCAGUUGUAACCUACAAAACUUAACUCAAUGGAUACAUUCAUUCCCACAAGCUACGAUUUUGCUCACAGGCGAUGAUAAGCAAACAAUAGUAUCUCUUGCAAGGUUAACCCAAAUGCGUAUCUCCAAGAACCAAAGGCAAAAGUUCACCCUAUUCUCAGCUUUUGUAAUAUGAACAUAAUUUAGCCCAUCUGGACUGGAUCCAGGAGUCCAGGAGGCUGGACAGAAUUUAACACAAAAAAGUACAUCACCCUGCACAUCUUGCCGAAUUUUAUUUCAAUUUCUGCAAGCAUUCAGCAUUCUCGCAGUUACUGUCCAUCACCCAACGUACCAAGUUUUCUUGAAUCACUGGAUAUUUCAAUCCAUAUUAAGUUUUGAUGAACAAUUCACACAAUCAGCUGAAUGCCUUCUGCAAUUUGUGAUCCAUGAUAUGCAACCAUGUCAGUAGGGAUGUUAUGAUGGAGAUGCACCUCGAGGAAUUCCAUGUCCAUGCUUGUACAUCAAACCUAUUAUUUGCUCCACCUUGUACCUUUGACCACACAUUAAAUAGGCUUUAUACAAUAUCACAAAUGUCUUUUUUGUGCGGUCCAAGUUGAAUUUCUCCAUCUCAUCAAGGACACUUUCCAUCUCAUCCAAGCGCUUUUGUGAUGCAUACAUAACCAUUUUACAAUGAUAUAGAGAGCGGCAGAUUUUCCAUCCUGCAUAUUCAGAGUGUUUUACAAAGGCUGCAAGUCUGUCAACUGCAUUGCAUCUAAAAUAGCUUGCAAUAAUGGUCCGCAUCACUCUGGUGGUUGUUACAGUGGUCUUUUGCCGGAAUGCCUCAUUUAUAGAGUUCUCCAUUCCCUCUAACAGAUCCUGCUGCGCAUAAACCCUAAUCAACAAGACAUUCAACCAAGGUCUAUAUUCCUUUUCUGGAAUAAGCCUCAAUAGUGCUUCAAUCUUUUUGAUUCUAUCAGUGCUUGAACUUUUACCAUAUGCACAUAUCAUGGUCCUGAUCAAAGGCCUUUCAUGGACAUUUACAUGAUCUUUUACCAAUUCAUAAGUGUCUUCCAUCUUUCCCAAAUUCCCAGAAUGUGCAUAGCCUCUAAGCAUUAGCAAGUACGUGUUAAGAUUAGGCUUAAUAGGACCUUCCUUCAUUAUCUGAAAAAUAUUUUCCAUUCUAUCCCACAUCCAAGCAGUGAUGUAACCGGCAAUUAAAUUAUUGUACGUGAUCAAGUUUGGCAAGAUAUUUAAAUGCUUCAACUCCUCAAAUGUUGCCUCCAUCUGAUCAACCAGUAACAAGCGACCAAAGACUGAUAUAAGGAUGUUAUAUGUUACAACUGAAGGACCAAAAUUUAAUUCCUUUUUCAAUUCACGAAACAACGACAGACAUUUAUCAGCAUGACCGUUGUACAUGUAAGCACCCAUCAGUGCAUUAUAGGUACAAGUUCUCUUAGCACGCUUGCUACUAGCCUCAGCAAACAGCUCAACUGCAAGAUCAACAUUCUUUGCCCUACCAGCAACUGAGAUACCCUUGGCAUACUCCUCUGGUGUCAUAGGAGUGCUCCUCUCAGCUUGUUUUCUUCUCCAACUUAAAACCUCUAAGGCUAAUUGACGCCAAGAAAUCAAUUGCUUCAUGAGCUCUAUAAAAGCGGACCCAUCGAAAUACCUCCUAAUCAACGAGUCACCCUUCUCCUCUAAAACCCCAAUAACCUUAUCAAAAUCCCCAACAUGUUGAACCAAUUCGUCCCGCAAAAGGGACACCUUUUUGCUCAAAUCCUGGCUGGCUUUGGUUUCAACUUGAGAGAAUUUGUCAGAAAAAAGCGGGAUAAUGUAAGGGAAAAAAUUGGAGGGCAGCGAAGUAUGAGUCUGCGCUCGGGCAAGUCUGUAAACUGGGGACUCGGUGAGGCCGUAAGUUAAAGGGGACAAAUUUAGGGAGAUAGUAGGGGAUCUGUGGCGGCAAAGCAGCUCUGAUUGGGCUGCAUCCGAGAUUUUGAACACUC
rnacentral:misc_RNA from 1 species